rnacentral:rRNA from 1 species
UACGGAGGGAGCUAGCGUUGUUCGGAAUUACUGGGCGUAAAGCGCACGUAGGCGGCUUUGUAAGUUAGAGGUGAAAGCCCGGGGCUCAACUCCGGAACUGCCUUUAAGACUGCAUCGCUUGAAUCCAGGAGAGGUGAGUGGAAUUCCGAGUGUAGAGGUGAAAUUCGUAGAUAUUCGGGAAGAACACCAGUGGCGAAGGCGGCUCACUGGACUGGUAUUGACGCUGAGGUGCGAAAGCGUGGGGAGCAAACAGG